rnacentral:piRNA from 1 species
UUAUUAUGUGUGUACCCAUGUGGAUGUGU